rnacentral:tRNA from 1 species
UGGGGUUUAGCUCAGGGGAAGAGCGCUUGCCCAGAAUGUGUGAGGCACUGAGUUCAUUUCUCAGCACCACAU